rnacentral:rRNA from 1 species
UACGUAGGUUGCAAGCGUUGUCCGGAAUUAUUGGGCGUAAAGCGCGCGCAGGCGGUCCUUUAAGUCUGAUGUGAAAGCCCACGGCUCAACCGUGGAGGGUCAUUGGAAACUGGGGGACUUGAGUGCAGAAGAGGAAAGCGGAAUUCCACGUGUAGCGGUGAAAUGCGUAGAGAUGUGGAGGAACACCAGUGGCGAAGGCGGCUUUCUGGUCUGUAACUGACGCUGAGGCGCGAAAGCGUGGGGAGCAAACAGG